CUGGGCGGUGCCACCAUGUGGUCUAUGCAGUCAAAGAGGCCCAAGUGCUUACCUAUCCAUGCUGCCUGCGUGCUCAGUUUACUUCACAGGCUUAAAUCUGCCUGUACAAACUCGUUUUCUGUCACCACAAUGUUAUGCUACGGCUGCCAGUUCUCUUAUACUGGUUCUAGCCAUAUACUUCUUUGCUAAAGUUACCUAAGAUUUUCAUUUCUAUCCUGUCUCAAUAUGAUUUUUACUACUAUCACUGAAUUCUAUUCAGUUAUAACCAAUCUACAUAGUGCUCAAUCUUGUCAGAAGUUUGUUAACUAUUAAGAUUAUGACAGACAGAAUUCCCAAAAGCCUCUAAGGUUUCUCCCACACGGUCUCAGAAGAUGGGGAUGUAGCUACAGGAUGCCACCUGGACUGUGAUAUGACAAUCACUGAAAUAAAAUACACAGUGGACAAAACUGGAUACUCUGAGUCAAAUGACUUAACUAAAAUAAAGGUUUUGCUACAUCCAGGACAGCUCCAGAGAAGCCACUUCCAGAGACUCCAAUAUCUCCUCUCACAGACAUAUGCUCCUACUGGACCUCUUCCUUCUGACAUAUCCUCAGAUGGCUCCACAGGCCCUCGACAGCAAGGACAGCCAACAUCCCCCAUCCUUCCAGGUUCCCCAGAGACACCGUUGCCCCAAUGUCAGCAUGAAGCAGCCAGAUAUCACAACGACCUUAUUCCUACUUCUUCAUCACCUCUUUCUAAUUUUUCCUUUUUUUAAAAAAAAUUAAGCC
ensembl:antisense Pramef12os PRAME family member 12, opposite strand